rnacentral:rRNA from 1 species
AGUGAACGCUGGCGGUAGGCCUAACACAUGCAAGUCGAACGGCAGCACAGGAGAGCUUGCUCUCUGGGUGGCGAGUGGCGGACAGGUGAGGAAUACAUCGGAAUCUACUUUUUCGUGGGGGAUAACGUAGGGAAACUUACGCUAAUACCGCAUACGACCUACGGGUGAAAGCAGGGGAUCUUCGGACCUUGCGCGAUCGAAUGAGCCGAUGUCGGAUUAGCUAGUUGGCGGGGUAAAGGCCCACCAAGGCGACGAUCCGUAGCUGGUCUGAGAGGAUGAGCAGCCACACUGGAACUGAGACACGGUCCAGACUCCUACGAGAGGCAGCAGUGGGGAAUAUUGGACAAUGGGCGCAAGCCUGAUCCAGCCAUACCGCGUGGGUGAAGAAGGCCUUCGGGUUGUAAAGCCCUUUUGUUGGGAAAGAAAUCCAGCUGGCUAAUACCCGGUUGGGAUGACGGUACCCAAAGAAUAAGCACCGGCUAACUUCGUGCCAGCCGCCGCCGUAA